AACGAACGCUGGCGGCAGGCUUAACACAUGCAAGUCGAACGCCCGUAGCAAUACGGGAGUGGCGGACGGGUGAGUAACGCGUGGGAACGUACCCUGAGGUACGGAAUAACCGAGGGAAACUUCGGCUAAUACCGUAUGAGCCCCGCAAGGGGGAAAGAUUUAUCGCCUUGGGAGCGGCCCGCGUCGGAUUAGCUAGUUGGUGGGGUAACGGCCUACCAAGGCUUCGAUCCGUAGCUGGUCUGAGAGGACGAUCAGCCACACUGGGACUGAGACACGGCCCAGACUCCUACGGGAGGCAGCAGUGGGGAAUCUUGCGCAAUGGGGGCAACCCUGACGCAGCCAUGCCGCGUGAAUGAUGAAGGCCUUAGGGUUGUAAAGUUCUUUUGCCCGUGACGAUGAUGACGGUAACGGGAGAAUAAGCUCCGGCUAACUUCGUG
rnacentral:rRNA from 1 species